rnacentral:tRNA from 1 species
ACCUGGGUGGCUGAGUCGGUUGAGCGUCUGACUUCAGCUCAGGUCAUGAUCUCACAGUUUGUGGGUUCGAGCCCCACGUUGGGCU